rnacentral:lncRNA from 1 species
UUUAGUUUAUUGCCACACGUUCCAUACGUAUGCGGAUACGAUACCUUGGUUCAGAUAUUCAACUCGUUUUAUACAUUUGUUUUCUUCAAAACAGUACCCGUUUAUAAUGAUUUAUUUAUAUAGUAAUAACUAUGAUUAUGUAAGGGAUUUUUAAAUUGCAACUAUAUAUAUUAAUAACUAAUAUGCAUUUUUAAUUAUACAAGUAGUAGAUAGUUCUGUCAAAAAAAUACAAGUAGUAGAUAGAUGUCAUAAAAGUGCAAGAUGAAGAGGGAUAUUCGGAUACCGAUCCUUUCCCAUUAUUAUCAUCUAAUUUUCGAAUUUGUGUUUAGUUUAGUAACUAAAUAUAAGCAUUUAUGCCAUAAAUAAUUAUAUAAUUGGA